AUUGAACGCUGGCGGCAUGCCUUACACAUGCAAGUCGAACGGCAGCACGGGGGCAAUCCUGGUGGCGAGUGGCGAACGGGUGAGUAAUAUAUCGGAACGUGCCCAGUCGUGGGGGAUAACGCAGCGAAAGCUGUGCUAAUACCGCAUACGAUCUACGGAUGAAAGCGGGGGAUCGCAAGACCUCGCGCGAUUGGAGCGGCCGAUAUCAGAUUAGCUAGUUGGUGAGGUAAAGGCUCACCAAGGCGACGAUCUAUAGCGGGUCUGAGAGGACGACCAGCCACACUGGAACUGAGACACGGUCCAGACUCCUACGGGAGGCAGCAGUGGGGAAUUUUGGACAAUGGGCGCAAGCCUGAUCCAGCAAUGCCGCGUGCAGGAUGAAGGCCUUCGGGUUGUAAACUGCUUUUGUACGGAGCGAAACGGUCUUUCCUAAUACGAGAGGCUAAUGACGGUACCGUAAGAAUAAGCACCGGCUAACUACGUGCCAGCCGCCGCGGUAA
rnacentral:rRNA from 1 species